GGUUAAUCCAUCCUCCUAAUCCUCUAGUGGCUGUCUCAUUGACAGCCGCUAGAGGCGUUUGCGUGAUUCUCACUGGGAAAAUCACAGUGAGAACACGCAAGCGUCCAUAGGAAAGCAUUAUGAAUGCUUUCCUAUGAGACCGGCUGAAUGCGCGCAGCUCUUGCCGCGCGUGCGCAUUCAGCCGAAAGGGAGGAUCGGAGGCGGAGAGGAGGAGGGGAGCUCCCCGCCCGGCACUGGAGAAAAGGUAAGUUUUACCCCUUUCCUCUCCCCAGAGCCGGGCGGGAGGGGGACCCUGAGGGUGGGG